rnacentral:rRNA from 1 species
UACGGGAGGCAGCCGUGAGGAAUAUUGGACAAUGGGCGCAAGCCUAUCCACCAUUCCCGUANGUUGAACGACACGGCCCUUCGGGGUU